rnacentral:rRNA from 1 species
UUUACUGUCUCUUACUUCCAAUCCGUGAAAUUGACCUUCCCGUGAAGAGGCGGGAAUACAACAAUAAGACGAGAAGACCCUAUGGAGCUUUAAUUAACCGACCCAAAGAGACCCUAUUAAUUAACCGACAGGAACAACAAACCUCUGUAUGGGCCGACAAUUUAGGUUGGGGUGACCUCGGAGAACAGAACAACCUCCGAGUGAUUUAAAUCAAGACUAACCAGUCGAAAGUAUUACAUCACUUAUUGAUCCAAAAGUUUGAUCAACGGAACAAGUUACCCUAGGGAUAACAGCGCAAUCCUAUUUCAGAGUCCAUAUCGACAAUAGGGUUU